rfam:Coprobacillus sp. CAG:698 genomic scaffold, scf108
UGCAUUACGCAACCGCACUUAAUUGGUAAAUAAGUGAUAUAAUCUAUAUCCACCAUAGUAGGCGUGACUUAAAUUUUUA